AAACGAUGCCCUUGCCGUUUACAGCGCGGUUCGUAGAGCUCGAUCCAUGGCGGUUGCAGAGCAGAUGCCGAUUCUGAUUGAGGCUUUGACUUAUAGAGUUGGACACCAUUCUACCUCCGAUGAUUCAAGUAAGUAUCGCGCCAUUGAUGAGAUUGAGUAUUGGAAAAUGGAGAGGAAUCCUGUGGAUCGCUUUGCUAAAUGGCUUUACAGUAAUCGAUGGUUGAGCCAAGAAGAUGAGUCCAACCACAAAACCACUGUCAAAAAACAGUUGUUGCAAGCAAUUCAGAAUGCAGAGAAAACAAAGAAGCCUCCAGUUUCAGAAUUGUUCAAUGAUGUUUAUGAUCAUUUACCUAAAAACCUUGAAGAACAAGAAG
rnacentral:misc_RNA from 1 species